rnacentral:rRNA from 1 species
CAGAGGUGGCAAGCGUUGUCGGAAUUACUGGGCGUAAAGGGCGCGUAGGCGGCCAUCUAAGUCAGACGUGAAAUCCCCCGGCUUAACCUGGGAACUGCGUCUGAUACUGGACGGCUCGAGUUUGGGAGAGGGAUGUGGAAUUCCAGGUGUAGCGGUGAAAUGCGUAGAUAUCUGGAGGAACACCGGUGGCGAAGGCGGCAUCCUGGACCAACACUGACGCUGAGGCGCGAAAGCUAGGGGAGCAAACGGGAUUAGAUACCCCGGUAGUCCUAGCCCUAAACGAUGAAUGCUUGGUGUGGCGGGUAUCGAUCCCUGCCGUGCCGAAGCUAACGCAUUAAGCAUUCCGCCUGGGGAGUACGGUCGCAAGGCUG